UACGAAGGGGGCUAGCGUUGCUCGGAAUUACUGGGCGUAAAGCGCACGUAGGCGGCUUUCUAAGUCGGGGGUGAAAUCCUGGAGCUCAACUCCAGAACUGCCUUCGAUACUGGAAAGCUCGAGUCCGGGAGAGGUGAGUGGAACUGCGAGUGUAGAGGUGAAAUUCGUAGAUAUUCGCAAGAACACCAGUGGCGAAGGCGGCGACCUGGGCCAAUACUGACGCUGAGGUGCGAAAGCGUGGGGAGCAAACAGG
rnacentral:rRNA from 1 species